GAUGAACGCUGGCGGCGUGCCUAAUACAUGCAAGUCGAGCGAACAGAUGAGGAGCUUGCUCCUCUGACGUUAGCGGCUGACGGGUGAGUAACACGUGGAUAACCUACCUAUAAGACUGGGAUAACUUCGGGAAACCGGAGCUAAUACCGGAUAAUAUAUUGAACCGCAUGGUUCAAUAGUGAAAGACGGUUUUGCUGUCACUUAUAGAUGGAUCCGCGCCGCAUUAGCUAGUUGGUAAGGUAACGGCUUACCAAGGCGACGAUGCGUAGCCGACCUGAGAGGGUGAUCGGCCACACUGGAACUGAGACACGGUCCAGACUCCUACGGGAGGCAGCAGUAGGGAAUCUUCCGCAAUGGGCGAAAGCCUGACGGAGCAACGCCGCGUGAGUGAUGAAGGUCUUCGGAUCGUAAAACUCUGUUAUUAGGGAAGAACAAAUGUGUAAGUAACUAUGCACGUCUUGACGGUACCUAAUCAGAAAGCCACGGCUAACUACGUG
rnacentral:rRNA from 1 species